rnacentral:rRNA from 1 species
GAUAAACGCUGGCGGCGUGCCUAACACAUGCAAGUCGAACGCGCUUUUCUCGCGAGAGGGGAGCGAGUGGCGGACGGGUGAGGAACACAUGGGUACCUACCUUGAAGUGAGGGAUACCGGCGAGAAAUCGCCGACAAUACCGCAUAGGCUCUUUUUGCAAGAGAGAGCAAAGUUUCUCGCAAGGGAGACGCUUUGGGAUGGGCCUGUGGCCGAUUAGCUAGCUGGUGGGGUAACGGCUCACCAGGGCGACGAUCGGUAGCUGGUCUGAGAGGACGAUCAGCCACACUGGGAUUGAGAACGGCCCAGACUCCUACGGGGGCAGCAGUGAGGAAUUUUCCGCAAUGGGGGCAACCCUGACGGAGCAACGCCGCGUGCAGGAAGACGGCCUCGGUUGU